UUUGAUCCUGGCUCAGGAUGAAUGCUGGCGGCGUGCCUAAUACAUGCAAGUCGAGCGGUAAGGCCCUUCGGGGUACACGAGCGGCGGACGGCUGAGUAACGCGUGGGAACAUGCCCCAAAGUGAGGGAUAACGCACCGAAAGGUGUGCUAAUACCGCAUAUGGUCUUCGGAUUAAAGGAUUUAUCCGCUUUGGGAGUGGCCCGCGUACGAUUAGAUUGUUGGUGAGGUAACGGCUCAAACCAAGUCGACGAUCGUUAACUGGUCUGAGAGGAUGAUCAGUCAGACUGGAACUGAGACACGGUCCAGACUCCUACGGGAGGCAGCAGUAAGGAAUCUUCCACAAUGGGCGAAAGCCUGAUGGAGCAACGCCGCGUGCAGGAUGAAGGCCCUCGGGUCGUAAACUGCUUUUAUGAGUGAAGAAUAUGACGGUAACUCAUGAAUAAGCACCGGCUAACUACGUG
rnacentral:rRNA from 1 species